UGUUGUGGCCUCUCCCGUUGCGGAGCACAGGCUCCGAAUGCGCAGGCUCAGCGGCCAGGGCUCACAGGCCUAGCUGCUCUACAGCAUGUGGAAUCUUCCCAGACUGGGGCACGAACCCAUGUCACCUGCAUCGGCAGGCGGACUCUCAACCACUGCGCCACCAGGGAAGCCCUGUUGAGCGAAGGCGGCCACCAUGUUCUGCCUGCCUUCUGCUGCACAAGGUGGGGAGUCGCUCCAGGACCUGGCUUCAAACGUGUAAGCUCCUGUGUUCAUUAAACCACUGAUGGCUCUGUUGCUACUCUGGGCUCUAUCUUCAGUCUUGCAGCUGGGCAACUGCAGGGCUGCGGGGUGCAGCCCAACAUCAAUGUAUGCAUAUAGAGUCAAAAUUAUUGUUUGAGAUUUCAGUGAAAAUUUUCACUCAUGUACACACACCUGCAUACAUAUGGAUUUAUAUUAUAUCUAUUUUUCUUGAUUUUUUCUUUUAGUAUGUCAUACAGACAAAAAUAAGGCUUGAAUAUGAUAAAAAUACAUGGAAAGUUUCUUUGAGUUUUAUAAAAUGGAGUGCUAUUCUAUUUAUUGUUGCUGCAUAAAAAUUGACUCCAAAACUUAAGGGCUUAAAGCAACAACAGUCAUUUUAUUAUUUCUCACAGUGUCUGUGGGUCAAGAAUUUGGGAAUGCACUAGCAGCAUAGUCUGGCUACAGGUCUCCCUCGAAAUUGCAGUCAGAUGGUGAGUAAAGCUGGAAUAGCAGGUGACUGGAGAAGCUAGGGGCUUUGCUAGACAUCUCUUUUUUAUGAAUUUUCUUUGUUUGGUUUUAGUAUCAGCCUUAAGCUGGUUACAUAGAAUGAGUUAGAAAGUGUUGCUUGGUUUUCUAAUCUAUGAAAGAUUGGGGGGGAAUAUUUGAUAUUAUUUCUUCCUUAAAUAGUUCAGAGAAUGCAUCAGGUGGAGCCAUCUGACCCAGUGCUUUUCUUUUUUUAACACGGAUUUUAUAUGAGUUAAAUUUCACUUACAGAUGUAGGAUUAUUCAAAUUUUAUAUUCAUUUUGUAUCUGUAUUGCUAAAUUGAAUUUGUAAGAAAUUUGUCUGUUUUAUUAAAAAUUCUAAGUUAUUGGUAAAAUGGUGUAUAUAAUAGCCUGUUAUUAUAGUUUUGGUAUUUACAAUAAAUAUUGUGGUGUCCCUAUUUUCAUUCUUGAUACUGCUAAUUUGUAUAUUCGCAUAUAUUCUUGAUCUCUUCUGUUAGGUGUUUAUCGAUUUUAUUAUUCUUUUCAAAGAUCCACCUUUUGGCUCUACUGAUUUUGUCUAUUAUAUGUCUAUUCUUGUUCUUUGAUAUUUCCUCAUUUUUAAAAAUUAUUCUUUCCUCUUUUAUACUUUAGCUUUAAUUUUCUGUUCUUUUGCUAACUGCUUGAGUUGGAAGCUUAGAUAAUUUAUUUUUAAACAUUCUUCUUUUAUAAUACAUGCUUUUAAAGCUAUAAAAGUCCAUAUGAACACACUGCUCUAGGUACAUUACACAAGUUUUGAUAUGUUGAAUUUUCAUUAUCUUUCAGCUCAAAGUAUUUCUUAAUAAAAUCUAUCGCUUUCUUUUUUCGGUUCCUUAAAAGUAGUUUCCUUAGUUUCCAAACACCUGCUGAAAGAUAGUAGUUAUUCUACUAGUGGGUUCUUCAUUAUACAAUUUUCUUUUUUAAACUGCUGAGAGUUUCUUUGUGGCUCAAAUUAAGAUCUACUUUGGUAUAUGUUCUAUAUGUACUUCAAAAGAAAGUUUUCUUUCUUCUACAAAUGUAGGUGAAAUGUUUUAUAAGGGUCUAUCAGAGUAAGUUAGUGAAUUAUAUUGUUCAAAUCUUUUUUACUGAUAAUUUUUAUUUGCAUCAUCUCUGGUACUGAAAGAUAUGUGUUUGUUAAAAGCUACAGUCAGGAUUAUUGAUUUCUUUCUCUCUAAAUCCUGUUUUCUUUAUGUGUUUUGAAACUGUAUGUCCUGGUGUGUAUCAAAAUUGUAUUUUUAUGUCUUCAUGUUGAAUUAAGCCAUUUAUCACUAUGAAAUAAAUAUUUUCUUUAUAUCCCAUGAA